rnacentral:lncRNA from 1 species
AAACCGUGGCCAGCGCUUCUCCAGCCCAGACUGGGAGACGAUUUACUGGUGGAACUGUAAGUACAGUAAACCCAAGCCUCAGAAAUGGACCUUUUUUCUUUUUUAAACCAAGAGUUUAUAGAAACCAUAUCAAGGCAAAAAGAGAGAGAGAGGGAGAAUAUCAAUUAGAGAGUUUUGUUGUAAACAUUUUAAAUAAUAAAAUUAGGGCCUGUAAUGAGCUUAUCAUCUAUCCAGAUAUGUAUAAGUUAAUAUUUUUACUUAGUUGGAUUAUUACCUUUUUUUUUCUUUAACUGUUUUACUGGAACAUUCAACAUUUUAAAAGUUAGUACUUUUAAACGCUACAUUUGAGUACUUGUGAUGCUGUCUUUCCACGAAAACCUCAGGCGCAGAGAGUGUUCAUGGCUAGCCGGAAGUAAACUGUGAGGCCUUGCUAGAAUCAGGCCUUUGAAUCAGAGCCCAGCUCUCCUGAUGCCUGUGUUCCUGGUUUACUGUAGUGAGCACAAAAUGCUGAUUGCUCUUUUCCCUAUUUUUCAAAAUUAGCUGAAAAAUCCAGAGACCCAUCUAUAUGGGAAAUCCCUAUACCUUCUGUUCCGUUUUGCUGUGAACCUGAAAUUGCUCUAACAAAUAAAGUUUAUGAAAACAUUUUGAAAAUGCAAAGAUUCUGCCUUACUAUAUGCUGUUGUAACAGAUGUUUUAGUAGGUCUCCCUCUUCGUAUGUAUAUACAUCUUUUUAACUGAAAAUUAUCCUAUAUUGAUUUUUUUCCUACAGGAGUGAGAUCUGGCUGGGCACAGUGGCUCAUGCCAUAAUCCCAACUCUUUGGGAGGCUGAGGCAGCAGGAUUGCUUGAAAUCAAGAGUUCAAGACCAAGCCUGGGCAACAUAGUGAGAACCCCGUCUCUACAAAAAAAUAUUUUUAAAAUUAGCUGGGCAUGGUAACUGACACAUACCUGUAGUCUGACCUACUUGGGAGGCCGAGCCAGGAGGAUCAUUUGAGCCCGGAAGCUCCACGUUACAGUGAACUGUGAUCAUACCACUGUAGCCUAGGUGGCAGAGCAAGACCCUGUCUCUAAAAAUAAUAAUAAAUAAUAAUAAAAGUGAAAUCUAACAGCACUUGUUGAGGUUUCUCCUUCAUAGCAUCUCAAAUAUCACAAACGAGGAUGAAAAGGACUCUAUUUCGGGGGACAUACUGCAUGGGGGUGGGGGGAGCAGAAGUCUCAGCCUGGGUUAGCAGUAAUCUGAGCAUUUCUUUUUGUAAAAUUUUAGAGAAAUACUUUGGAACUCAAACUCCCCUCUGCAUGCAGCCCAUUGUAUCCAGCUGUGUAUGUAAAUGAGCUAUUAGUAUGUUUGUAUUCCUUAUAAAUAUACAGAUCUAAUCUGUUUGUGUGUGUAAUUUACACACAGCUGUGUUCAUGCUCCCGUAUUACCAAUAUUGUCAGCAAGAGUGAGUUUCUGUGGGACCAGAAUUUAGGAAUGGCUCCACCGUGCAGGUCUGGCUUAGGCUUUCACGAGGUUGCAGUCAAGUGAUAGGAGGGUUUACUCUCAGCCCAGUAUUCUCUAUCCACACAUAGAAUUUUUGGGAAACAAUAUCUUGGGAUGCAAACACAGGCAGCAGCCACAUCAUCACAUCCCUUGUCUGCACCCUCGGCUCCAUUCCUAGGCCCACCACAGCUCUGAGGCUUCCCAAUUUUUUAC